AUAUUAGAGUUGGGGCAGUUAAAAAGCUCGCAGUUGGACUUCUGCUGUGGUCAUCCGGUACCGCCCGCAUGCCGGCGCACCUGGUUUGGCUCCGGCAUUCUUCCUGUAGCAUUCUGCUUUUAAUUGAUUGGACUGUGUUACGGAACUUUUACUUUGAGACACAUAGAGUGUUUCAAGCAGGGUUGUCGCCCUGAAUACUUCAGCAUGGAAUAAUAGGAUAGGACCUUGGUUCUAUUUUGUUGGUUUCUAGGACCAAGGUAAUGAUUAAUAGGGACAGUGGGGGG
rnacentral:rRNA from 1 species